UGUAGUAAGUUUAGAAAAUACCAUUGCUUUUGCAUGUAAUCAGGGGGGAGCGAAAUACAACAAAUUUCGGGAAAAAUUUCCAUGCCGAAUUAUCGGCAGGAAACGGCAGCACCUCGGGCGAAGAUCGGAAGUACACAAUCUGUUUGAUGUUUCUGUGGUCAAUGGCUCAAAGGAGCAAUGGAGCUUAAAAAACGACUCUAACUUUGACAAGUCGAGUUUAAACGCUUUUUGAAAGCUUUCAGGAGCUUUCCCGCUUCUCAGAAAGUAGGGGCAGUGCUUGUAAUAUUGUAUUCAAUUUCGAG